rnacentral:ncRNA from 1 species
UUGGUGGAAUCCGAAAAACCAAAAACAGAGUAGGAA